GAUGAACGCUGGCGGCGUGCCUAAUACAUGCAAGUCGAGCGAACAGACGAGGAUCUUGCUCCUCUGACGUUAGCGGCGGACGGGUGAGUAACACGUGGAUAACCUACCUAUAAGACUGGGAUAACUUCGGGAAACCGGAGCUAAUACCGGAUAAUAUAUUGAACCGCAUGGUUCAAUAGUGAAAGACGGUUUUGCUGUCACUUAUAGAUGGAUCCGCGUCGCAUUAGCUAGUUGGUAAGGUAACGGCUUACCAAGGCGACGAUGCGUAGCCGACCUGAGAGGGUGAUCGGCCACACUGGAACUGAGACACGGUCCAGACUCCUACGGGAGGCAGCAGUAGGGAAUCUUCCGCAAUGGGCGAAAGCCUGACGGAGCAACGCCGCGUGAGUGAUGAAGGUCUUCGGAUCGUAAGACUCUGUUAUUAGGGAAGAACAAAUGUGUAAGUAACUAUGCACGUCUUGACGGUACCUAAUCAGAAAGCCACGGCUAACUACGUG
rnacentral:rRNA from 1 species